AGCUCCAAUAGCGUAUAUUAAAGUUGUUGCGGUAAAAAAGCUCGUAGUUGGAUUUCUGUCGAAAACGAGCGGUCCACACAACGUGUGCGCAUCUGCUUCGGUUUUGACAUCCUUCCGAAAGACGACUCUGCGCUUGAUUGCGUGGAUCGGAUUCCGGGACUUUUACUUUGAGGAAAUUAGAGUGUUCACGGCAGGCUAUCGCCAGAAUACAUUAGCAUGGAAUAAUACUAUAGGAUCUUGAUCCUAUUUUGUUGGUUUCUAGGAGCAAGAUAAUGAUUAAUAGGGACAAUUGGGGGCAUUCGUAUCAACACGUCAGAGGUGGAAUUCUUGGAUUGUGUUGCGACGAACUACUGCGAAAGCAUUUGCCAAGGAUGUUUUCA
rnacentral:rRNA from 1 species